rnacentral:rRNA from 1 species
AUUGAACGCUGGCGGCGUGCCUUACACAUGCAAGUCGAACGGUAACAGGUCUUCGGAUGCUGACGAGUGGCGAACGGGUGAGUAAUACAUCGGAACGUGCCUAGUAGUGGGGGAUAACUACUCGAAAGAGUGGCUAAUACCGCAUGAGAUCUACGGAUGAAAGCAGGGGAUCGCAAGACCUUGUGCUACUAGAGCGGCCGAUGGCAGAUUAGGUAGUUGGUGGGAUAAAAGCUUACCAAGCCGACGAUCUGUAGCUGGUCUGAGAGGACGAUCAGCCACACUGGGACUGAGACACGGCCCAGACUCCUACGGGAGGCAGCAGUGGGGAAUUUUGGACAACGGGCGAAAGCCUGAUCCAGCAAUGCCGCGUGCAGGAUGAAGGCCUUCGGGUUGUAAACUGCUUUUGUACGGAACGAAAAGCCCCGGGUUAAUACCCUGGGGUCAUGACGGUACCGUAAGAAUAAGCACCGGCUAACUACGUGCCAGCCGCCGCCGUAA